UUUAACUGAAGAGUUUGAUCAUGGCUCAGAUUGAACGCUGGCGGCAGGCUUAACACAUGCAAGUCGAGCGGGGGAAGGUAGCUUGCUACUGGACCUAGC
rnacentral:rRNA from 1 species